CCAGACUCCUACGGGAGGCAGCAGCGGGGAAUAUUGCACAAUGGGGGAAACCCUGAUGCAGCGACGCCGCGUGAGUGAAGAAGUAUUUCGGUAUGUAAAGCUCUAUCAGCAGGAAAGAAAAUGACGGUACCUGACUAAGAAGCCCCGGCUAACUACGUGCCAGCAGCCGCGGUAAUACGUAGGGGGCAAGCGUUAUCCGGAUUUACUGGGUGUAGAGGGAGCGUAGACGGUGAAGCAAGUCUGAAGUGAAAGGCGGGGGCUCAACCCCCGGACUGCUUUGGAAACUGUUUGACUGGAGUGCAGGAGAGGUAGGUGGAAUUCCUAGUGUAGCGGUGAAAUGCGUAGAUAUUAGGAGGAACACCAGUGGCGAAGGCGGUCUGCUGGACAGCAACUGACGCUGAGGCGCGAAAGCGUGGGGAGCAAACAGGAUUAGAUACCCCGGUAUAG
rnacentral:rRNA from 1 species